rnacentral:rRNA from 1 species
UACGUAGGGUGCAAGCGUUGUCCGGAAUUAUUGGGCGUAAAGAGUUCGUAGGCGGCCAGGUAGGUCGGUUGUGAAAACUGGAGGCUCAACCUUCAGAGGUCGACCGAAACCAUCUGGCUAGAGUCCGGGAGAGGAGAGUGGAAUUCCUGGUGUAGCGGUGAAAUGCGCAGAUAUCAGGAAGAACACCCGUGGCGAAAGCGGCUCUCUGGAACGGUACUGACGCUGAGACGCGAAAGCGUGGGGAGCGAACAGG